GUACCUUUCUUUGUUCAAAGAUUUAAAUAUGUCUGAAAAUACACAUUAGCAUAAAGCCAACAUAUUAAUAGCAAAGAUAAAUAGGCCUAUUUGUGAAUAAAUGAUUUACACAUUGAAGAUGAGCUUACUACAGGUAAGUAUGGUGGCCAUACAGUUAAGCUUAAGGAGUCAUUGUACCUUCCAGAUGGAUGUUUAACAUUGAAACAUGAUGCAU